rnacentral:miRNA from 2 species
GAAGUGUGCCGUGGUGUGUCU